CCUACGGGAGGCAGCAGUGGGGAAUCUUAGACAAUGGGGGCAACCCUGAUCUAGCCAUGCCGCGUGAGUGAUGAAGGCCUUAGGGUCGUAAAGCUCUUUCGCCUGUGAUGAUAAUGACAGUAGCAGGUAAGGAAACCCCGGCUAACUCCGUGCCAGCAGCCGCGGUAAUACGGAGGGGGUUAGCGUUGUUCGGAAUUACUGGGCGUAAAGCGCGCGUAGGCGGAUUAGAAAGUUGGGGGUGAAAUCCCGGGGCUCAACCCCGGAACUGCCUCCAAAACUGCUAGUCUAGAGUUCGAGAGAGGUGAGUGGAAUUCCGAGUGUAGAGGUGAAAUUCGUAGAUAUUCGGAGGAACACCAGUGGCGAAGGCGGCUCACUGGCUCGAUACUGACGCUGAGGUGCGAAAGUGUGGGGAGCAAACAGGAUUAGAUACCCUGGUAGUCCACACCGUAAACGAUGAAUGCCAGUCGUCGGGUAGUAUACUAUUCGGUGACACACCUAACGGAUUAAGCAUUCCGCCUGGGGAGUACGGUCGCAAGAUUAAAACUCAAAGGAAUUGACGGA
rnacentral:rRNA from 1 species